AAGUCGUAACAAGGUUUCCGUAGGUGAACCUGCGGAAGGAUCAUUAUCGAAAGAAAAGGUUCUUUCGGGCUGUUGCUGGUCUCCUCGCGAGGGGAGGCAUGUGCACGCCCGUAGGGACCGUAUCCUUCUCCCACCCCUGUGCACCUCUGCGUGGGUCCGUCGGCGCAAGCCUUUGGAUCCGCGUCUUAUCUAUAAACCCUUAUGUAUGUCUUUAGAAUGUUAUAUGCGAUAAAAAGCAUCUUGUACAACUUUCAACAACGGAUCUCUUGGCUCUC
rnacentral:misc_RNA from 1 species